rnacentral:rRNA from 1 species
GUAGGUGGCAAGCGUUGUCCGGAAUUAUUGGGCGUAAAGCGCGCGCAGGCGGUCCUUUAAGUCUGAUGUGAAAGCCCACGGCUCAACCGUGGAGGGUCAUUGGAAACUGGGGGACUUGAGUACAGAAGAGGAAAGCGGAAUUCCAAGUGUAGCGGUGAAAUGCGUAGAGAUUUGGAGGAACACCAGUGGCGAAGGCGGCUUUCUGGUCUGUGACUGACGCUGAGGCGCGAAAGCGUGGGGAGCAAACAGGGAUUAGAUACCCUGGUAGUCCACGCCGUAAACGAUGAGUGCUAAGUGUUAGGGGGGUUUCCGCCCCCUUAGUGCUGCAGCUAACGCAUUAAGCACUCCGCCUGGGGAGUACGGCCGCAAGGCUG